rfam:Triticum aestivum genome assembly, contig: Triticum_aestivum_CS42_TGACv1_scaffold_021601_1AS
CAAGUACUCCCUCUGUCCGGAAUUACUUGUCAUCAAAAUGGAUGUGUCUAGAACUAAAAUACAUCUAGAUACAUCCAUUUCAACGAUAAGUAUUUUGAACGGAGGGAGUACAAG